rnacentral:rRNA from 1 species
AUUGAACGCUGGCGGCAGGCCUAACACAUGCAAGUCGAGCGCAGUGGGGACGGGUGAGUAACACGUGGGUAACCUCCCAUCAGAGGGGAUAACACUUGGAAACAGGUGCUAAACCGAUACUGAUGGAUGAACCCGCGGUGCAUUGGCUAGUUGGUGAGGUAACGGCUCACCAAGGCCACGAUGCAUAGCCGACCUGUGAGGGUGAUCGGCCACACUGGGACUGAGACACGGCCCAGACUCCUACGUGAGGCACAAGUGGGGAAUAUUGCACAAUGGGCGCAAGCCUGAUGCAGCCAUGCCGCGUGUAGUAAGAAGGCCUUAGGGUGGUAAAGUACUUUCAGCGGGGAGGCGUUACCCGCAGAAGAAGCACCGGCUAACUCCGUGCCAGCCGCCGCGGUAAUUC